UCCGGUGAAGUCAUUUCAGCUGUUGACGUCAACACAAAAAUGCAGCGUUUCUUCGCCACUUCCCUAGUGGGUUUUCCAAAAUUACGAUUCGAAGAUGUGCAGAAGAUUGUGGAGUCACCCUCAGCAACACCAUUGUCAAAUAUCAUGGAUUACUCGACCGGAAGUCCCUUUACCCGGUGAAGGCAAAAUCGAACGCCGAACCAGGAAGUUGUGAGAUAGGCCUGAGCAUAGACAUCUUAUAGAAAAAAAAAAAAUAGUCAAACAAACUUAUCCUUUUAUAUAUUGUAUUAUGCAUAAUGUUUCUUAAUUUCAGUUGGUAAAGGGCAGGGCUACGUCUACCUCCAGAAGAGCUGACGAAAGCCUGUCCGUGGCCUCUGAGGAUUCCCCAGAAUUGACAACCUCACACCCACAACCUCAGCCUAAUGAUGAUCAUGGAUAUGCCUUGCCUACUUCUCCUACUGCUGUUAAGGCUAAAAUCAAUCAACAUUUGGCAAGAUUGGAAAGUCUGGAGCGAGAAAAGAAGAAUACCAUGUCCAGAGAAAAGAGGGCAAAGACCACAGUCAAGGCUCUUUUGGGGGAUUUGAGGGAAAAAAACCUCAUUAAUGAAGAGCUCAGUGAGAAGCUUGCGUUCUACUCAGAUCUUAAGAUGGACUUUGUGGCAAAGAAGGGCCAUGAGUACACGCAGAACUGCAGAGAGUUUGCACUCACGCUCCAUCUUCAUGGUCCAAAGGCAUACAAAUGCCUCAGAGAGACUCGA